rnacentral:snoRNA from 1 species
AUGACCUUCCAAGUUUUAUAAAGAAGACGAUGAUAUUAUUUGCGUUUCAUUUCAAUCGAACAAUUCUGCUUGACUCAGCGGAGUAAGAUCUGCUGGGCUAAGGUUUUAAUGGAGAAAGUGGUUCCUGCGCAGCCCAUUAAUCUUGUUACAUUCUAUGAAUGACAAGGACACUGCUAUAAAAUUCUGAUUCUU